AACGAACGCUGGCGGCAGGCUUAACACAUGCAAGUCGAACGCCCCGCAAGGGGAGUGGCAGACGGGUGAGUAACGCGUGGGAACAUACCCUUUUCUACGGAAUAGCUCUGGGAAACUGGAAUUAAUACCGUAUACGCCCUACGGGGGAAAGAUGUAUCGGGGAAGGAUUGGCCCGCGUGGGAUUAGCUAGUGGGUGGGGUAAAGGCCUACCAAGGCGACGAUCCAUAGCUGGUCUGAGAGGAUGACAAGUCACAUUGGGACUGAGACACGGCCCAAACCCCUACGGGAGGCAGCAGUGGGGAAUAUUGGACACGGGGCGCAAGCCUGAUCCAGCCAUGCCGGGUGAGAGAUGAAGGCCUUAGGGUUGUAAAGCUCUUUCACCGAUGAAGAUAAUGACGGUAGUCGGAGAAGAAGCCCCGGCUAACUUCGUG
rnacentral:rRNA from 1 species